GAAUUCAGAGUUUGAUCAUGGCUCAGAACGAACGCUGGCGGCAGGCUUAACACAUGCAAGUCGAGCGCCCCGCAAGGGGAGCGGCAGACGGGUGAGUAACGCGUGGGAACGUACCUUUUGCUACGGAAUAACUCAGGGAAACUUGUGCUAAUACCGUAUGUGCCCUUCGGGGGAAAGAUUUAUCGGCAAAGGAUCGGCCCGCGUUGGAUUAGCUAGUUGGUGAGGUAAAGGCUCACCAAGGCGACGAUCCAUAGCUGGUCUGAGAGGAUGAUCAGCCACACUGGGACUGAGACACGGCCCAGACUCCUACGGGAGGCAGCAGUGGGGAAUAUUGGACAAUGGGCGCAAGCCUGAUCCAGCCAUGCCGCGUGAGUGAUGAAGGCCCUAGGGUUGUAAAGCUCUUUCUCCGGUGAAGA
rnacentral:rRNA from 1 species